CCUACGGGUGGCAGCAGUGAGGAAUAUUGGUCAAUGGUCGAGAGUCUGAACCAGCCAAGUAGCGUGCAGGAUGACUGCCCUAUGGGUUGUAAACUUCUUUUAUACGGGAAUAAAAUGCUUCACGUGUGGGAUUUUGUAUGUACCAUAUGAAUAAGGACCGGCUAAUUCCGUGCCAGCAGCCGCGGUAAUACGGAGGAUCCGGGCGUUAUCCGGAUUUAUUGGGUUUAAAGGGAGCGUAGGUGGCUUGUUAAGUCUGUGGUGAAAGGUCGCGGCUCAACCGUAAAAGUGCAGUUGAAACUGGCAGUCUUGAGUACAGGAGAGGUGGGCGGAAUUCGUGGUGUAGCGGUGAAAUGCUUAGAUAUCACGAAGAACUCCGAUUGCGAAGGCAGCUCACUGGAGUGCAACUGACGCUGAGGCUCGAAAGUGUGGGUAUCGAACAGGAUUAGAUACCCGGGUAGUC
rnacentral:rRNA from 1 species